rnacentral:misc_RNA from 1 species
AACGCACCUUGCGCCUUUUGGUAUUCCGAAAGGCAUGCCUGUUUGAGUGUCAUGAAAUCUCAAUCCCCUCGGGUUUAUGACCCGGGGUGGACUUGGACUUGGGCGUCUGCCAGCUAAUGGCUCGCCUCAAAAGACUUAGUGGGAACAGCAUCCACGGCCUGACGUAAUAAGUUCCGUCUGGUCCGGUGUGAGGCCCGCUCAUAACCUGCCAUCGCGCACUUCUGACUCUGACCUCAAAUCAGGUAGGGCUACCCGCUGAACUUAA